rnacentral:rRNA from 1 species
CCUACGGGAGGCAGCAGUGGGGAAUAUUGGUCAAUGGGCGCAAGCCUGACCCAGCAAUGCCGCGUGAAGGAUGAAUGCUUUCGGGUUUUAAACUUUUUUUUAAGGGGAAGAGAAGAGAACGUUACCCUGAAAACAGUCCACGCCUAACUACGUGCCAUCAGCCGCGGUAAUACGGAGGUGGCAAGCGUUAUCCGGAUUUAGUGGGUGUAAAGGGCGUGUAGCCGGGAAGGCAAGUCAGAUGUGAAAUCUGGAGGCUCAACCUCAAAAUUGCAUUUGAAACUGUUUUUCUUGAGUACUGGAGAGGCAGACGGAAUUCGUUGUGUAGCGGUGAAAUGCGUAGAUAUAAGGAGGAACACCAGUGGCGAAGGCGGUCUGCUGGACAGCAACUGACGGUGAGGCGCGAAAGCGUGGGGAGCAAACAGGAUUAGAUACCCGAGUAGUC